CACGUAGGGUGCGAGCGUUGUCCGGAAUUAUUGGGCGUAAAGAGCUCGUAGGCGGUGUGUCGCGUCGGCCGUGAAAACCUGCAGCUUAACUGUGGGCUUGCGGUCGAUACGGGCAUCACUGGAGUUCGGCAGGGGAGACUGGAAUUCCUGGUGUAGCGGUGAAAUGCGCAGAUAUCAGGAGGAACACCAGUGGCGAAGGCGGCUCGCUGGACCGGUUCUGACGCUGAGGCGCGAAAGCGUGGGGAGCGAACCGG
rnacentral:rRNA from 1 species